rnacentral:rRNA from 2 species
GCGCGGCGCUGGUCUAAGUUCUUUGGAACAAGACGUCAUAGAGGGUGAGAAUCCCGUAUGUGACUAGCUGCCUGUGCCUGUGUGAAGCUCCUUCGACGAGUCGAGUUGUUUGGGAAUGCAGCUCAAAAUGGGUGGUGUACUUCAUCUAAAGCUAAAUAUUGGCCAGAGACCGAUAGCGCACAAGUAGAGUGAUCGAAAGAUGAAAAGCACUUUGGAAAGAGAGUUAAACAGUACGUGAAAUUGUUGAAAGGGAAGCGCUUGCAAUCAGACUUGCGCGGCGUCGAUCAACCUGGGUUCUCCCUGGUGCACUCGGCGCUGCUCAGGCCAGCAUCAGUUUCAGCGGUUGGAUAAAGGCCUAGGGAACGUGGGUUACUUCGGUGACUGUUAUAGCCCUAGGUGCAAUGCAGCCUGUUGGGACUGAGGACCGCGCUUCGGCUAGGAUGCUGGCGUAAUGGUUGUAAGCGACCCGUCUUGAAACACGGACCAAGGAGUCUAACAUCUAUGCGAGUUUUUGGGUGUCAAACCCAUAAGCGUAAUGAAAGUGAACGGAGGUGAGAACCCUUAAGGGUGCAUCAUCGACCGAUCCUGAUGUCUUCGGAUGGAUUUGAGUAAGAGCAUAGCUGUUGGGACCCGAAAGAUGGUGAUCUAUACUUGAAUAGGGUGAAGCCAGAGGAAACUCUGGUGGAGGCUCGCAGCGGUUCUGACGUGCAAAUCGAUCGUCAAAUUUGAGUAUAGGGGCGAAAGACUAAUCGAA